AUAUCAAUAAGCGGAGGAAAAGAAACCAACAGGGAUGGCCCUAGUAACGGCGAGCGAAGCGGCCACAGCUCAGAUUUGAAACCGGGCAACCGGAUUGUAAUCUGCAGAGGAGGAUCCGGCAGCGGCUAGACUAAAGUCCUCUGGAAUGGGGUGCCCUAGACGGUGACAGCCCGGUAAAGUCAAUGCCAAAGCCAUUCGGGCCUCUCUCAACGAGUCGAGUUGUUUGGGAAUGCAGCUCUAAUUGGGAGGUAAAUUCCUUCUAAGGCUAAAUACCCGCCGGAGACCGAUAGCGAACAAGUAGAGUGAUCGAAAGAUGAAAAGCACUUUGGAAAGAGAGUCAAAUAGCGC
rnacentral:rRNA from 1 species